rnacentral:ncRNA from 1 species
AGUUAGUGAAUGCAAAGAUGAGUAGGUUACGAGCUGAUUCCAGAGAAUCGUCACGUGGUGGAAGGCGAUAUCGGCAACUGAUUGAAGAUGGUCUUAGAUGCAGUUCUCAUCACCGAGCGUAAGUUAAGUGAUGGCGGGGACUCCCGUUACAGAGUUAGGGUAUGACCGUACUUGAACUGAUGUUAAGUACCCGAAGAGGAGCAAUUCGUGAGGGUUGCUUAAACUAAGGUGGUAACACGGAAAAAACACUUCCGUCCUUUAU